UCAUUCUCAUAUAAAUUGGCAUUUGUGUAUAGGGAUUCCUCAAGCGAAAUGCUUGGACUAACUCAUUAUUUGUAAAAAUUAAUCUUCUGUAAUAAUUUUGAUAGUCCUUACAUGCAUUUUCCUGAUUCGAUCCUUUGAGGGGGUUACUGCUGAAUCUCCUCUCUCCAAAUACCAUGCAUCAUGUGUUUCCUAUACUAAAUAUAACCUAAAAGCCUUGGUCCUGAUGGAUUUAUUACUUCAGGAUUCUUCCUACAAGUAGUUUUUAGUUUGCAGUAAUAUUCAGAAUGGCCUAUAAGAAUGCCUCUUGAAAGAUAAAACCCACGUAGCUUUUCAUACCUGAAGUCAACCCAAUUAGUCUCCUCCCUACUGUUCCCCAUAUGCAUUCCUGGCUUGACUGGUUUUCUGGUGUGUAACAUCACUUUAACCUUUAUAAGGGUGACUCUUUCAGGAUAUUGGUGAAGUUCAGACUCCUGGACUUGACCAAGCUUAGUUCAAAUUUUAGCACCCAUCUGCUUGGUUCUGAUAACAGGUGGUAUACCCCAAAUCUGCACCCAGAUAGGAAUUUCCCAACAAGUCUAUUACUGCAAUCUUUUAGGUAUUCUUGAACAUUACUUUCUUUCACAGAGAAAAAAUCAUCUUCCUCCUCGGUAUUGUAAAACUGUGUUUGUGUAUCAUGUGAUGUUUUCAUUAUUCUCUUCACUUCUAGCAUCUGAUUCUUUAUUCAUGGAUUCACCAAACAAUAAUUCAAUUGAUGUAAGUGAAAAAAAAUAUCCAUAACCCUUGCUAGAUGCAAGUGUGAUACUGCUGGAAACUGGCACUGAACAAAAACAGAUUGCACCAUACAAAUACUUAAUUGAUGGCGAUAUUACAAUAGUUAAUUAGUUAUAUAGGAAAUAGUUCAGAAAAGACCAAGAUUCAAGAGCUUGGUUCUCUAUAACUUGAGGAUAAAACAUAACAUAAUUCAAUUUCAAUUUCUUACUCUACACACAACUGCCUAAUUUUAGUUAGGGCAUUUAACAUGCUUUAGCCCCUUCCUCACAAACUUUUUUAGCUGCUUGCUUUCGAAUUUUAGCUUCCUUCUUUUUCAUUUUCUUUUUCUGAAUUUUAGCUUCCUUCUUUUCCUUGCUUUUUUUCAGAAUUUCAGCUUCCUCCUUUUCCUUCCUUUCAGGUUCCUCCUCUUCCUUCCUUUUCAUUUCAGCUUCCUCCUUUUCCUUCCUUUCAGCUUCCUCCUCUUCCUUCCUUUUCAUUUCAGCUUCCUCCUUUUCCUUGCUUAUUCCCAGAAUUUCAGCUUCCUUUUUUUUAAUUUUCUUCAUCAGAAUUCGAAGUUCUUUACGGCUUUUGGCAACAUACUCUCUAUACUGACCCUUGCCAGACCACGCAAUUUUCAGCCUAUACAACUGCUGGUUUAGAGGAUAAUUAAUUAACAUUAAAGAACUCAAAUAUGAACAAAGAAACUAAAACUGUAAAACUUGAAUCAAAAUCAUUGUUAGAGAAAAACUUGCCUCGUGAUUUAAAUCAGCAUCAGGCUUAUUGAUGCAACUACGAACGUCUUUGAUCAUUUCAUCAUAAAAGAUAUCAUAAUAAGUCUGCAGGUAUAAAAAAAUAAUAUUAAAGGGCUAAAACAGACAAAGAAACUAAAAAUUGUUUGAAUAAAAAGCAUAGCUAACGAUCAAAAAAAUCAUGCCUGGUGAUCUCUAUCAUUUUUGAUGAGAAGUUUGCCGGUUUUUGGCCCAGAUCUCCUUUUGCCGGUAUAUGUGGGUCCUGAGAUGACCCAAGUAGUUGGCUUAGAUUUCUCCUCGUCAGUCAUUUGUGGAAGAUUGGGGGAGAGACUUAACCUGCAGAGAAAUUAAAAAUAAUGAUGAUAAGAAAAUGAAAACCCUAAACCCCCAAAACCGACAAGUUUAUUCCCCGCAAUCAAUCAUAGAUUCAAAUGCAAUAAUAAACUACAAUUGAUUGAAGAAGGGAAUUAGAUAGGUUUUGAAGGAGGGAAAAGUUGCUAAAAUAUUAGGUUAAAAUUAGGGCAACAAAGCUUUGUUUAGCAAUAUGGUUUAUGGAAAUCAAUUAGAUAGGUUUUAG
rnacentral:lncRNA from 1 species